UAAAUAUUACAAAAUUGAUGAUGUGGCGCGCCAUAGGGCGCGCCUUAAGGCGCCCACUGCAGGUGGAGAAGGAGGAGGAUAAAAAUGCUGACGUGGCGCGCCAUAGGGCGCGCCUUAGGGCGCUCCACUGCUGAUGGUCUUAUAGGCUGUUUGUUGUUGAAUCCUUGUACAAUCGGUUGUGGUGAGAUUGGCAGGCAUCAAACCUGAUCUCCCUUGGCUCUUUAUUCAUAAAGGCUGGCUGUUUUUGAGGCAGUACCUAAGAUGUACUCGAUGAAUCAAUAAAUGGACUGAGCUCCUCCUUUGUUUUUCUUAUUGCAGCAAAAUCCUCCUUUUUUAUGAUUCUGCAUCAAACUUUAACUGAAAUUGUGGUGGUGUACUAGAAUCCUGCAGCAAACUCGAUGAAUCAAUAAAUGGAAUUGUUUGUUGUGGCAGGCAUAAUGCAGGUGCUGCUAUGCGAAGUGGAGGUUGCAGGAUUUGACUUGCUCUCUUUGGUGGGGAAGGCGACUUGGCUGCCACGUUGCUGUCCGAGACCUGGGUUUGUUGCCCUCGGCCCGACGGGCUGCAUCGGUCAUGGGCCAUGAAGGGUCUGAUUCGGGCUCAUAAAGAAUAGGCCCGCUGUUUAUAUUCUUGUAUUUGUAGUCAUGAUUUCUUUUCUUAAACUCAUAAACUCAUGCACUUAAUUAUAUAAAUUAGCGCGUAGUUUGAGAUGUACGCGAACACUCUUUAGUUCGUGAAUGAAGUCUUCAUAUUCUUCUCGA